CACACAUUUUCAACAUGAUUGUGGACUCGUAUUUUGCAAAUAGGCGGGAAUUUUAUUCAAAACACUAGAAAACAGUGAAAAAUAAACAAAAAACAAGGAAAACCGCCACAAAAAUCAUAAAAGAAUGCAGUUUUCCUUGAGAUGUCUACGUUAAACUAAAGUAUAGCUGUUUGGCAAUUAUAUAUCAGUGUUUCUUGGUGUAAUGGACCAUACUUCGUCUUCGAGAAAUCGUCCUGUGCAAAAAUAUGUUCUGUUUUCGUAAAAACACCAAAGCGAUAGCGUUUGAAGAGUUUAUAUUGUCAGGAAAUAUUCACAGGGAAGAUAGCGAUUGAAAAUCUCAGGUAAGCGUUGCUUUUCAUUAUUGUUCAACUGAAAAAUGUUGUUCACUCCUAUACAAACGCCAUUUUUAACUACGUUUUGGACAGUUAACUAUACCCUAAAGCAUAGUUAACUUUAACUACUUUUUAACUGCAGUUAAGGCU